GUCUCAGCUUGCCCGCAGUGCGGUGCGGUUCUGAGAAACAUGGGAUUUCCGAGAAGUUAUCACUUGCCCGAAACACGCCACCGUGACAUGCAAAGACAGUUUCUGUGGAAACAGGAACACACGCGGGAGGGGCUAUGAGCUCCCAAUAGGCUACUUUUCAGUUAUAAGAAUGCUCAUAGACCCCAAAGAAGCAUGUGCAUAAGCUGUACUAAUACAAUGAUCCAGCCAUGACGUAGUGUGCCAGGCCUCACUAAUUACGCGAUCUUGACUGAGCAGCAGCGUUCUCUAGAACAUGCAUUGGCCCUUUUUCACAACAUGACUCCACUUUGGAGAGCCUGGCACAGACGUUAGCCCACUGGGAAUUUCCACUGUC